GGCAGGCCUAACACAUGCAAGUCGAGCGGUAGCGGGCCUGACCACUCUCGAGUGGUUCAGGCGCCGACGAGCGGCGGACGGGUGCGUAACACGUAGGAAUCUGCCCGGUAGUGGGGGAUAGCCCGGAGAAAUUCGGAUUAAUACCGCAUACGCCCUAAGGGGGAAAGCAGGGGAUCCGUUCUUUUAGGAGAGUGGACCUUGCGCUAUCGGAUGAGCCUGCGUCGGAUUAGCUGGUUGGUGGGGUAAAGGCCUACCAAGGCGACGAUCCGUAGCUGGUCUGAGAGGAUGAUCAGCCACACUGGGACUGAGACACGGCCCAGACUCCUACGGGAGGCAGCAGUGGGGAAUAUUGCACAAUGGGCGAAAGCCUGAUGCAGCCAUGCCGCGUGUGUGAAGAAGGCCCUAGGGUUGUAAAGCACUUUCAGUGGGGAGGAAAGGUCGAAGGUUAAUACCCUUUGGCUGUGACGUUACCCACAGAAGAAGCACCGGCUAACUCCGUGCCAGCAGCCGCGGUAAUACGGAGGGUGCGAGCGUUAAUCGGAAUUACUGGGCGUAAAGCGUGCGUAGGCGGCCAUUUAAGUUGGAUGUGAAAGCCCCGGGCUCAACCUGGGAACUGCAUCCAAAACUGGGUGGCUUGAGUGCGAGAGAGGAGUGUGGAAUUUCCUGUGUAGCGGUGAAAUGCGUAGAUAUAGGAAGGAACACCAGUGGCGAAGGCGACACUCUGGCUUGACACUGACGCUGAGGUACGAAAGCGUGGGGAGCAAACAGGAUUAGAUACCCUGGUAGUCCACGCCGUAAACGAUGUCUACUAGUUGUCGGUGGUCUUGUACUGCUGGUAACGCAGCUAACGCGAUAAGUAGACCGCCUGGGGAGUACGGCC
rnacentral:rRNA from 1 species